rnacentral:rRNA from 1 species
GAUGAACGCUAGCUACAGGCUUAACACAUGCAAGUCGAGGGGAAACGGUAUUGGAAGCUUGCUUCCGAUAGGCGUCGACCGGCGCACGGGUGAGUAACGCGUAUCCAACCUGCCCACCACUUGGGGAUAACCUUGCGAAAGUAAGACUAAUACCCAAUGACGUCUCUAGAAGACAUCUGAAAGAGAUUAAAGAUUUAUCGGUGAUGGAUGGGGAUGCGUCUGAUUAGCUUGUUGGCGGGGUAACGGCCCACCAAGGCUACGAUCAGUAGGGGUUCUGAGAGGAAGGUCCCCCACAUUGGAACUGAGACACGGUCCAAACUACUACGGGAGGCAGCAGUGAGGAAUAGUGGUCAAUGGGCGAGAGCCUGAACCAGCCAAGUAGCGUGCAGGAUGACGGCCCUAUGGGUUGUAAACUGCUUUUAUAAGGGAAUAAGGUGAGUCUCGUGAGACUUUUUGCAUGUACCUUAUGAAUAAGGACCGGCUAAUUCCGUGCCAGCCGCCGCAGUAA